UCAUCCCUUCCCGUCAUUUGCGCAGAGGACACUGGAGGAAGAGGAUGGUGAAGAGAAGGUGAAGGAUCCUAUGGCUUCAAGGAGGCUGAGGACAUCCCACCGUCAGAGUAACUGUUGUGUUUGAUGGCACUGAAUUCGGACAUGAAGAUCUUUUCCCUUUUCUUUGCUGUUCUCUUUUUAGUGCUCCAAGGCACUUUAGGUUUCAUGCGUGCACCUAGUAAUGAUGUGCAAUGUAAACAGGCUGGGGGUACCUGUUCCACCGACCACUGUCCUCUACCCAAUAUGAGGUCCUUCGGACGUUGCACGCAAGGAGUCCCUUGCUGUCGGACUGUGUAUGAAUAGUGACCAUGGGCAUCUCAGAUGGGCUAAGCAGAGCUUCUGGCAAUGUAAGAGCUGUAUCAUCCCAUUGGAAACUCUGGAAUUUUGAGCUGAAAAUAUGCAUUUAACACACACAUGCACACACCAAAACAUGAACAACAGCAGAAAGAAAACAAACUCCUCCACAAACAAACUUAACGACCUGAAGAAACUCUAAAGCAAUUCUUGAACCACCCAGAAAAGACCAAUAUUUCUCAUUUUUCUAAAAUGUUUUUUCUGUUGAAACUAUAUUGCAGCCACCAACAUCUAUCUCAGAGAGCAGAUCACCAACAUGCAGAAGUCUGUCCCAAUGCGAGGAUGCAAAGCAGGUUCUUCCUUUGGCCCUCAAAACAGAUAUUAAUUAUUUUCUUUUCCCUUUAGACUUAGCAUUAAUGUGAAUAAUGCUAGAAGACAAAUGUCUCCAGGAGACACUGAACGCUCAGCUGGGGGGUUCAUAUUUCAUAGUCUACGUGUCUCAAGAAAUUUUAAUAAACUUGCUCUGGAAGA